ACUCCUACGGGAGGCAGCAGUGGGAAUAUUGGACAAUGGGCGGAAGCCUGAUCCAGCAAUGCCGCGUGUGUGAAGAAGGCCUGAGGGUUGUAAAGCACUUUCAGUCGUGAGGAAGAUUAGAAGUUUAAGAGAUAUCUAUGAUGACGUUAGCGACAGAAGAAGCACCGGCUAACUCUGUGCCAGCAGCCGCGGUAAUACAGAGGGUGCAAGCGUUAAUCGGAAUGACUGGGCGUAAAGAGCGCGUAGGUGGUUUAAUUAAGUUAGAUGUGAAAGACCCGGGCUUAACCUGGGGUGNCAUUUAAUAACUGGUUGACUUGAGUGCAGGANAGGGAAGGUGGAAUUUCCGGUGUAGCGGUGAAAUG
rnacentral:rRNA from 1 species